UACGUAGGGUGCGAGCGUUAAUCGGAAUUACUGGGCGUAAAGCGUGCGCAGGCGGUUUUGUAGGCCAGAUGUGAAAUCCCCGGGCUUAACCUGGGAAUGGCAUUUGGGACUGCAAGGCUGGAGUGUGGCAGAGGAGACUGGAAUUCCUGGUGUAGCAGUGAAAUGCGUAGAUAUCAGGAGGAAUACCGAUGGCGAAGGCAGGUCUCUGGGCUGACACUGACGCUCAUGCACGAAAGCGUGGGGAGCAAACAGG
rnacentral:rRNA from 1 species